rnacentral:rRNA from 1 species
UGCUUCGGCAGCCCGCCAGAGGACCCAAACCCUUGAUUUUAUACAGUAUCUUCUGAGUAAAUGAUUAAAUAAAUCAAAACUUUCAACAACGGAUCUCUUGGUUCUGGCAUCGAUGAAGAACGCAGCGAAAUGCGAUAAGUAAUGUGAAUUGCAGAAUUCAGUGAAUCAUCGAAUCUUUGAACGCACAUUGCGCCCGCCAGUAUUCUGGCGGGCAUGCCUGUUCGAGCGUCAUUUCAACCCUCAAGCCCCCGGGCUUGGUGUUGGAGAUCGGCGUGCCCCCCGGGGCGCGCCGCCUCCCAAAUAUAGUGGCGGUCUCGCUGUAGCUUCCUCUGCGUAGUAGCACACCUCGCACUGGAAAACAGCGUGGCCACGCCGUUAAACCCCCCACUUCUGAAAGGUUGACCUCGGAUCAGGUAGGAAUACCCGCUGAACUUAAGCAUAUCAAUAAGCGGAGGAAAAGAAACCAACAGGGAUUGCCCUAGUAACGGCGAGUGAAGCGGCAACAGCUCAAAUUUGAAAUCUGGCCCUCGGGUCCGAAUUGUAAUUUGUAGAGGAUGCUUUUGGUGAGGUACCUUCCGAGUUCCCUGGAACGGGACGCCAUAGAGGGUGAGAGCCCCGUCUGGUCGGAUACCGAUCCUCUGUAAAGCUCCUUCGACGAGUCGAGUAGUUUGGGAAUGCUGCUCUA